AUGGUUCGUAAAGUAGCACCGAAAAAAAGAAAAAACUUUCAAAGCGAGAAAAAUACUCCUCAGCGGAAGGUGCCAAAGCUUCAAAAUGAUGAAGCAGAAAAUUCUUUAAACGCGAGUACUAUGAUUUUACUUUUUCUAAUUCUAUCAUCAUGCUAGUUCUUGCAUUUGUCUUGAAGAUGUCUGAUGACGAAAUGAACACAACCCCACCUAAAACAAUUAAUCUGAUCGAUUCUGACGACGAUGAGGAUAUGGCCUCAGAUCUUGACAUUGAAGAAGCUGUCAUCCUAAGCCAUGCAACCGCAGCUUAAACCACAGCGGCUGCCGGCACCGCCGUCACCCUCAGCAUAUUAUCCUGGGUGGGCCAGGCCUGCGCCCCUGACUGCAACAUUGCCCUCAACUUCUACUGAAAAUGCUGAUCUGCUGAAGAAUAAAGAUGUAAUUGCAGAAUUGCGGAUUGUAAGACAAGAAUUGGCAGCGCUUAGAGAGGAGUUCGCUUCGAUUAUUCGCUUAAAAAUAAAAAAGGCCUCUAAAUUUCCAACAACAACAGCGAGAGCUGCCCUGUCCGAACUUAUAAGCCCCCAAAAAGCAAAAGUCUUCUCGUGGGAUGGUAAGAUGCGAAAUGGAGUUGCAAAAACAGCGUUCUCCAAGUUUCAGUUUCCCUCCCUCAUAUACGGGUCUCAAUCAAAACUAACGGAUGAUGAUGGAUUCAGAAAUUUGCUAUUAGACAACUUCAGGCAUCAACCAAUGAAUGUGUGUCUCUUUUAAUCACCACAUUAGCUAAUCGGCCCACCAUAUCUGAGCUUCUUUAUAAGUUCAGACAUCAGAUUGAAUGCCGUAACUUGAUCGUACAAACUGUUCAGUUUUUCAAGGGAAGUGCCUCGGCUCCAGUGAUUGCUGCUACUUCUGAACCACUGCCACCUCCGGCCAUUUCCUCAGGUAUGUGUAUUCUACUUUAAGAUUCAAAUCUGUUCCUCAUGAUAUUAUGGUAGCGCAAUUGAGUUAAAGAAAUAGUUGUCAGCGGUGAGAU
rnacentral:lncRNA from 1 species